rnacentral:lncRNA from 1 species
GGAGCAGAGACAGGUGCAGAGGUGGUGAGAGCAGAAGUCAGCAGGGACUAUCUCAAGCAGAGGACCCAGACCCAUGGGAAUGCUGGAAGGACCCACGGGGAUGCUGGAAGGAGCUGGAAGGAUCUCAGUGUUCCCUUUGCAUCCUACCUCUCUCCUGGUUUUCAUUCAAAAACAGGAGAUUCGGACAGAAGCCCCAGGGAUGCAGAGACAGAGCUGUUGCUGUGGGUUAGAUGGGAAUGACCCACAGUUACUGAUGCAUUUGAACUCUUGGCUCCCAGCGGGUUCUGCUGCUUUAGAAGGUUGCGGAACCUGUAGGAGGUGAAUUCUUGCUGGAAGAAGUGACUCACUGGGGUUGAAGUUAGAAGAUUUUAGCCUGGUCACACAUUCUGUCCAUAUUCUACUCCCUGACUGCAAUGGGAACAGCUGCCUCAGGCUCCUACCACAGUGUCUUCCUCGCCUCCGUGGAUCAACUCCACUCCAACUAUUGUCUACAAAGCCUGGCUCUGCUCCCAGUAUUUUGAAGUCACACAGUUUAACUGCAGAAAGACCAUUCCUUGCAAGCAAUAUUGCUUGGAGGUGCAGACAAGGUGUCCAUUCAUAUUGCCCGACAAUGACGAAGUCAUUUACGGAGGCCUCUCCAGCUUCAUCUGCACAGGGCUCUACGAAACCUUCCUAACCAAUGAUGAACCCGAAUGCUGUGACAUCAGGAGCGAGGAGCAAACCGCACCCAGACCCAAAGGAACCGUGGACAGAAGAGACUCCUGUCCCAGGACAUCGCUCACAGUGUCCUCGGCCACUAGACUGUGCCCCGGCCGGCUGAAGCUGUGUGUACUCGUCCUCAUUCUCCUCCACACAGUGCUCACGGCCUCCGCAGCGCAGAACUCCACGGGACUGGGCCUGGGUGGCCUCCCCACGCUCGAGGACAACUCCACCCGGGAGGACUGAGCGCAGCCAGGCGCGUGCGCAGAGCGCAGGGCUGGGCAGGGACACGCGCUUGGCACAGAGCAGCAGUGACCCACCGGGGAUGCUCACCUGCUGCAGCCCGGGAACUGAACCCACCCGGGUGCUCUACCCUUGGACUUCUCGCAAGGCCUGUGGGUAACAUUCAACAAGAUGGGCCCGAUCCCCAACAUGGACACAGCCGCAGCUUUUUGCCGACUAAAAGGCUGCAAGUGACUCAGUUUCUCACACCAUUUUAUACACUGUGUUUUAACGUUUGGAGGUUUUCUUUGCUUUCAGUUCGGUUUGGGUUUAUUUUCCGUUUUUAAACUUUUUUUUUUCUGCACUUGUUAAUGCAGGAUUUCUUUGGGGGUAAACUAAGUCUCUCCACUGUCUAUCGAUUUCUAGUCAUCGUGUGUCCAUCAGAUAAUUCUGUCUACGUCCUGUCAGUUUCUAAUAGAGGAAUGACCGCUAUAACCUCACGGUGUAGCAAAAAAAAAACAACAACAAC